AACGAACGCUGGCGGCAGGCCUAACACAUGCAAGUCGAGCGGACCCUUCGGGGUUAGCGGCGGACGGGUGAGUAACGCGUGGGAACGUGCCCUUUGCUUCGGAAUAGCCCUGGGAAACUGGGAGUAAUACCGGAUACGCCCUUUUGGGGAAAGAUUUAUCGGCGAAGGAUCGGCCCGCGUUGGAUUAGGUAGUUGGUGGGGUAAUGGCCUACCAAGCCGACGAUCCAUAGCUGGUUUGAGAGGAUGAUCAGCCACACUGGGACUGAGACACGGCCCAGACUCCUACGGGAGGCAGCAGUGGGGAAUCUUAGACAAUGGGGGAAACCCUGAUCUAGCCAUGCCGCGUGAGCGAUGAAGGCCUUAGGGUUGUAAAGCUCUUUCACCGGGGAAGAUAAUGACGGUACCCGGAGAAGAAGCCCUGGCUAACUCCGUG
rnacentral:rRNA from 1 species